rnacentral:rRNA from 1 species
UGCAAGUCGAGCGCCUCGCAAGAGGAGCGGCAGAACGGGUGAGUAACGCGUGGGAAUCUACCUGGAACUACGGAACAACAGUUGGAAACGACUGCUAAUACCGUAUACGCCCUACGGGGGAAAGAUUUAUCGGUUUCAGAAUGAGCCCGCGUAAGAAUUAGCUAGUUGGUGGGGUAAUGGCCUACCAAGGCGACGAUCUUUAGCUGGUCUGAGAGGAUGAUCAGCCACACUGGGACUGAGACACGGCCCAGACUCCUACGGGAGGCAGCAGUGGGGAAUAUUGGACAAUGGGCGCAAGCCUGAUCCAGCCAUGCCGCGUGAGUGAUGAAGGCCUUAGGGUUGUAAAGCUCUUUCAGUGGGGAAGAUAAUGACGGUACCCACAGAAGAAGCCCCGGCUAACUUCGUGCCAGCAGCCGCGGUAAUACGAAGGGGGCUAGCGUUGUUCGGAUUUACCGGGCGUAAAGCGCACGUAGGCGGUUUGUUAAGUCAGGGGUGAAAUCCCAGAGCUCAACUCUGGAACUGCCUUUGAUACUGGCAAGCUAGAGUCCGGAAGAAGUAAGUGGAACUCCUAGUGUAGAGGUGGAAUUCGUAGAUAUUAGGAAGAACACCAGUGGCGAAGGCGGCUUACUGGUCCGG